CUACGGGCCGCACCAGUGGGGAAUAUUGGACAAUGGGCGAAAGCCUGAUCCAGCAAUGCCGCGUGAGUGAUGAAGGCCUUAGGGUUGUAAAGCUCUUUUACCAGGGAUGAUAAUGACAGUACCUGGAGAAUAAGCUCCGGCUAACUCCGUGCCAGCAGCCGCGGUAAUACGGAGGGAGCUAGCGUUGUUCGGAAUUACUGGGCGUAAAGCGCGCGUAGGCGGCUUUUCAAGUCAGGGGUGAAAUCCCGGGGCUCAACCCCGGAACUGCCCUUGAAACUGGAUGGCUAGAAUACUGGAGAGGUGAGUGGAAUUCCGAGUGUAGAGGUGAAAUUCGUAGAUAUUCGGAAGAACACCGGUGGCGAAGGCGACUCACUGGACAGUUAUUGACGCUGAGGUGCGAAAGCGUGGGGAGCAAACAGGAUUAGAUACCCGCGUAGUC
rnacentral:rRNA from 1 species